UGUGCCUACGGGGGGCAGCAGUGGGGAAUUUUGCGCAAUGGGGGAAACCCUGACGCAGCAACGCCGCGUGCGGGACGACGGCCCUCGGGUUGUAAACCGCUUUCAGUGGGGACGAUGGUGACGGUACCCACAGAAGAAGCUCCGGCUAACUACGUGCCAGCAGCCGCGGUAAUACGUAGGGAGCGAGCGUUGUCCGGAUUCAUUGGGCGUAAAGCGCGCGUAGGCGGGUGCCUAAGCGGGACCUCUAACCUCGGGGCUCAACCCCGAGCCGGGUCCCGAACUGGGCGUCUCGAGUGC
rnacentral:rRNA from 1 species